GCUACAGUGGCGGAAUGGUAGACGCAGGAGACUUAAAAUCUCCCGAUGGAUGACAUCGUACGGGUUCGAGUCCCGUCUGUAGUA
rnacentral:tRNA from 2 species